UACAGAGGUCUCAAGCGUUGUUCGGAUUCAUUGGGCGUAAAGGGUGCGUAGGCGGCGCGGUAAGUCGGGUGUGAAAUCUCGGAGCUUAACUCCGAAACUGCAUUCGAUACUGCCGUGCUUGAGGACUGGAGAGGAGACUGGAAUUUACGGUGUAGCGGUGAAAUGCGUAGAUAUUGGGAGGAACACCAGUGGCGAAGGCGGCUCACUGGACCGGUACUGACGCUGAGGCGCGAAAGCUAGGGGAGCAAACGGG
rnacentral:rRNA from 1 species